UACGGGGGGGGCAAGCGUUGUUCGGGAUUACUGGGCGUAAAGGGCGCGUAGGCGGCCUUCUAAGUCGGACGUGAAAUCCCCCGGCUCAACCGAGGAACUGCGUCCGAUACUGAAAGGCUUGAAUCCGGGAGAGGGAUGUGGAAUUCCAGGUGUAGCGGUGAAAUGCGUAGAUAUCUGGAGGAACACCGGUGGCGAAGGCGGCAUCCUGGACCGGCAUUGACGCUGAGGCGCGAAAGCUAGGGGAGCAAACGGG
rnacentral:rRNA from 1 species